AUUCAUUUAGUAUAAAAAGUAUUUCAGGCUUCCAACUUGAAGGUUAAUUUUUAAAUGAAUA
rnacentral:tRNA from 1 species